AAACUCUCUAACCUUGGAUUAUACUGCCAUUAUCCGAAAUUAGUUGGUAGCCUAUUUUGCAUUUAUCUGGCUAUUUCUUUUGCAUGCUAUGCAAGCAUACAGAAAAAUCUUUGUUCAUGAAGAUUUCCUCAACUCUGUCCACUAUUUGUUUUGUUUUUUAUUUUUUUAUGUAUUGCAUACUGUGGCACUGUGUGCUUUAAUGGAGUUUUCCUCUUUUAGUGACUUGGCAGGAAAACCAUAGUCAACCUGCCCAUGUCUUUUAAAAAUGUGGAUUCAUUUAUUUCCUUACUCUUGGGAAGCAAUAACUUAGUGGUGAUUUGCCUGGUUUUUUGAACAUCCAAUUUUAAAAUUUUGAUUUAGAACUGAAAUAUAUACUUAGUUGUGAUAUGGGGGGAUUGUUUUCCUUUGCUUUCAGUAUUCUUGCUGGCAUGCAUAUGCAGACUUCUACAUGUUGUCUUUGCUGGGAGAAAGCUAAUGUUCUUGAUGAUUUAGUUUAAUGUUAUAGACAAGUGGUAUUUUUAAUUGUUAAAGAUGAUGCAAGUAUAUGGUUGGUUUAUGUUUGUAGAUGCUUGAGGAGGUUUGUUUGAUGGUUGUGUCCUUUAGCUGUAGAUGAUUAUGACGUCAAUAUUUUAGGAACUUUUGAAAUUUUGGUGAUGUAUCAUGUGCUAGGUGGUUAUCAGAGAUGCAUUUGGUGGAAGGUUAUUGAUUGCAUCCUAAAAUCAAUAUUUAUGCUGGCCACUAUCAGUAUGUGAUAAGUGGGAAGAAAUGAAUAAAUUUUUUAUAGUCUCAUAGAUUUCGGUUUACCUACAAUGAACUCCUGGAUGAAGUUGGGGUUGUGAGAAAGUGUUCAUUGGCAUGCAUAGUGAAGCGUUACAUGUCGACUUGAAAAGAU